AGGCCCCGCCCCGCACGCCUCGCCUGAGGCGGGUCGGCUCAGCCCAGGCGCCCGCCCCCGCCCCCGCAGAUUAAAUGGGCCGGCGGGGCUCAGCCCCCGGAAACGGCCGUACACUUCGGGGCUGCGAGCGCGGAGGGCCGCGGCGACGAAGCGCAGACAGCGUCAUGGCAGAGCAGGUGGCCCUGAGCCGGACCCAGGUGUGCGGGAUCCUGCGGGAAGAGCUGUUCCAGGGCGAUGCCUUCCAUCAGUCGGAUACACACAUAUUCAUCAUCAUGGGUGCAUCGCUUUCGAGUAGGAUAUGGUGAUGGUGAAUGAGCCCGUAGUACAUCCGUGGAUGGUGGUGUUGGCGAAACCGCGGCAGUGGAGAGCAUGUAUAUACACAGAAAAAGCAUCUAUUCCAAAGAGAAAAACUUGCUGCCCCCUGCAGAAUGGAAGGGGUUUGAUAUGAUAUAAUCAUCUUUUCACCAGGUAGGUCUGAAUGUCUGUAACCCCAAAUUUCAUAUGUUGAAACCUAAUCACCGAUAUGAUGUUAUUGCAAGUGGAGCCUUGAAUGGUGAUUAGAUCAAGAGGGCAGAGACCUCAAGAAUGGGAUUAGUGUCCUCAUAAAGGAGACCCCUGAGAGGUUCCAUGUGCAAACACAGUUAGAAGGCACCAUCUAUGAACCAGAAAGUGGGCUGACACCAAACACCAAAUCUGCUGACUCCUUGAUCUUGAACCUUCCAGCCUCCAAAACGGUAAGAAAUAAAUUUCUGUUGUUUAUAAGCUACCCAGUCUAUGGUAUUGUGCUGUGGCAGCCUGAAUGGGCUAAGACAGACCCCUGUGGGAUGAGCCCAUAUAUGCGGCUCUGCUGUUGGGAGAUUUGGCACUUGGUGAAGACCAUGUUGUUGAGCCCGUGAGUAACUUCCAUUUCUGUCCUCAUGGCCACAUUUAUCAUGAGCCCACUGAGCAAGAAUCGGAGUAACUGAGGAAGGAAGUUAACUCACAUCCCCAGAGCAGGUCAUCACAACCACGUGAGUACCGAAAGCACCUCAGGAACGCACACAAGGGAUGUGCAUUUCCUGGUAUUCUAGGCCCAAUCUGGGAAGUCCAUCCACAUGCCUCUUCUCCAGGAUGCCUUGCUGUCAAUCUUCCAAUAUUGUUACUUCCAAGUCACCACCAUAUGAACAAACUCUUAUAAACUUCCCAUUGACUCAAAUAGAUCUAUGCUUUUAGCACCUUCCUUCUGGACAGAAUGAACAGUAAGAUGCAAUUAUCAAAAUGUGUCCUCAACAAUAAUUAUGAAGACUUGUUGAAUGUGCCAUGAGCGGUUCUUGAAGGGAAAUUUAAGGUUUUGAAGGCUUAGAAUAAACAAACAAUGACUGAAAAGAAUGACCUAAGCCUACAAGUCUAUACGUUAGAAAAAGAGCCGAGUAAAGGCAGGGACAGUAGUGCAAGAUAUCCCUUCUUGAUUGAUGGAUAAAACAAACGUUACAAGUCAUAAUAGCGGCCAGGCACGGUGGCUCAUGCCUGUAAUCUCAGCACAUUGGGAGGCCAAGGCGGGCAGGUCACGAGGUCAGGAGAUCGAGACCAUCCUGGCUAACACGGUGAAACCCCGUCUCUACUAGAAAUAGGAAAAAUUAGCGGGGCAUGAUGGUGGGUGCCUGUAGUCCCAGCUACUCAGGAGGCUGAGGCAGGAGAAUGGCAUGAACCUGGGAGGCGGAGCUUGCAGUGAGCCAAGAUCGCGCCACUGCGCUCCAGCCUGGGCCACAGAGUGAGACUUUGCCUCAAAAAAAAAAAAAGAAAAGAAAAAGAAAGUCAUAAUAGAAAUGUUAGAGAAAAAAAAUAUAUAGCUAUAGUAUAGCAGAGAUUUAAAAACAAUAAGAUAAAUUCAUUGCAGUAAAUUUAAAAAACGAUUAACUGGACAUUGUACUAGGAAAAUAUAAUGAACUCGAGAAACAUAUAACAUUUUUCUUUUUGGCCAAGACUGCUCUCCAGGUGGGACUGUGCUUUUCCCAUUACAUUGCACCAGGAAGUGCACCACAUCUGUGUUUGUCUUCAUUGUGAUGUUAUUAGGUUCAGGUGGUGUCAGCCUGAUCACUUUGUGUGUGUGUGGUGUGUGUGUGUGUAUGUGACAGGGUCUCUCUCUGUCACCCACAUUGGAUGCAGUGGUGAAAUCCUAGCUCACUACAGCCACAUUGUUCAUUCAUCCGUUCAUGGAUGACACUUGGAUGGUUCCACUUUUGGCUAUUGUCAAUAAUGAUGCAACAAACAUGGCACACAAGUAUCUGUUUGAGCACCUGUGUUUCUGAGCAGCCGCCAACAGUUUUCCAUAGUGCCUGCACGACUACAUCAAUCGGGAAUAGAUGAGGGUUCCAACUUCUCCCCAUCCUCGUCAACUCUUACUUAUUCCUAUUUUUUAAGUAACCAUCCGCAGUAACUGUGAAGUGGUAUCUCAUUGUGGCUUUGACUGCAUUCCC
rnacentral:lncRNA from 1 species